UAAUACGGAGGGUGCAAGCGUUAUCCGGAUUUACUGGGUUUAAAGGGUGUGUAGGCGGAUUAUUAAGUCAGUGGUGAAAUCCCGAGGCUCAACCUCGGAACUGCCAUUGAUACUAUUAGUCUUGAAUGUUGUGGAGGUGGGCGGAACGGGUCAUGUAGCGGUGAAAUGCAUAGAUAUGACCCGGAACACCGAUUGCGAAGGCAGCCCGCUACGCAACGAUUGACGCUGAGGCACGAAAGCGUGGGGAUCAAACAGGAUUAGAUACCCUGGUAGUCCACGCCCUAAACGAUGAUUACUCGACGUGUGCGAUACACUGUACGCGUCCAAGCGAAAGCAUUAAGUAAUCCACCUGGGAAGUACGUUCGCAAGAAUG
rnacentral:rRNA from 1 species